UUUUUUGCAAGUGAAUAAUGGAAAUCCUGGGCAGCUGCCCUGUAGACUGGUCUGUGCACCAACCAGCUCACUGCUCGGGAAGAGUGAGGUGAUGACUGUUCCCUUUGGAUAGGAGUCCUCGUGUCUACUAACUACGCUGAAACCCUGCCCUGUGAGAGACGCUAAUAUACUCUCUUCUCCUCCUCCUCUGCACAGCAAACGACCAAGGAUCUAGUGGCUCUGACCUAUCUGCCAAGGCUUAACAGAGCCUGGUGGAGUCUGUGCCACGGCCUGAGGGGACCCCCGAGAGGAAGACGGAUGAGCUCUGCUCUGUCUCCCUACAAGAACCAGUCAACCCCUCCCUAGCUUUUCUCUGGCACUUGGAGCGUCCCGUGUGGGAUUUCUGGCCUCGUCUCUCUGCUCACUGAACCACGUUUUGCUUUUCAGGUGUCAUAGUUUUCUGUAAUAAUGUUUUAUUUGCACAAAAUAAUUUCCAACAUUUUAAUGGAUUAAAAACUCUGUUAGUCAGA